AACGCGAAGAACCUUACCUGGGUUUGAAGAUCAGUCGAUCGGGGGCGAAAUCCCCCUUUCCCGCAAGGGACGGCUGGUUAGGUGCUGCAUGGCUGUCGUCAGCUCGUGUCGUGAGAUGUUGGGUUAAGUCCCGCAACGAGCGCAACCCUUGUCCAUAGUUGCUAACGGGUAGUGCCGAGAACUCUAUGGAGACUGCCGGUGAUAAACCGGAGGAAGGUGGGGAUGACGUCAAGUCCUCAUGGCCUUUAUGUCCAGGGCUACACACGUGCUACAAUGGGCGGUACAAAGAGUUGCGAUCCCGCAAGGGGGAGCUAAUCUCAAAAAGCCGCUCUCAGUUCGGAUUGUUCUCUGCAACUCGAGAGCAUGAAGCUGGAAUCGCUAGUAAUCGCGGAUCAGCACGCCGCGGUGAAUACGUUCCCGGGCCUUGUACACACCGCUACAGU
rnacentral:rRNA from 1 species